AGUUAUGCAUUCGUUUAAACUAUGGCUAGAAAUAAAGAGUGCCUUUAUGAAGUAAUUCAUAAAGUAAACAGGGUGAAUUGCGGGGAAGACCUUAGAGUCUUAGAUACUAACUUAUUUUAGUAAUAAAAUAAGGGCAAAGGGUAAUUCUGAUGGUAGUAAAAAUUCUAAGAAUUGGUUAAUCCGCAGCCAAGCUUCCAAAAUGGCAUAAAAGUAUGGAAGAAGGUUCAGAGACUAGAAAAAUGAGAAGCCUAUCAAUAAAUUUUUCCACGAGUGCCCUGUACCCAUAUCUAUGGGUAAUGAUAUAGUCCGAUACUUUAUAGAAAUAUAAAG
rnacentral:ncRNA from 1 species